GCCAGCUUGGUGUAGUGGUUAGAAUAUUGGACUAGAACUGCAAAUAUCAAGGUUGAAAUCCCUACUUGACU